UUACGGCUAUAUCACGUUGAAACACCGGUUCUCUUACGAUCACCGAAGUUAAGCAUCGUCGAGGCUGAUUAGUACCUAGAUGGGUGACUUGCGGAUACCAGAUGCUGUAA